rnacentral:lncRNA from 10 species
AAAAAAAUUAGCUGUGCGUGGUGGCGGGCGCCUGUAGUUCCAGCUGCUCUGGAGACUGAGGGAGGAGAAUGGCGUGAACCCGGGAGGCGGAGCUUGCAGUGAGCCGAGAUCGCGCCACUGCACUCCAGUGAGAUUCCGUCUCAAAAAAAAAACAAAAACAAAAACAAAACAACAAAAACAAAUGCAAAAGAUAGUGAGUUCUUAUGAGACCUGGUUGUUUAAAACUGCGUAGCACCUCCCCGCCCUUCCUCCUCCAGCCACAAGUGCCUCACCCCCCUUUGCCUUCCGCCAUGAAUAUGUUUCCUGAGGCCUCCCUAGAAGUUGAUGCUGCCAUGGUUCCUGUACAGCCUGCGGAGACGUCAUUAUUACAAUGAAGGGAAGAAAGGAAGACAUGAAGGGGAAAUGGGACUAUUUACCAAGUGUAUCUGCAUAGACUAAAGGAGACAAGAGGAAGUACUGAGCACCUUGAUUCCUGCAGAUAAUUAUUUAAGAACCAUAAGAAUUCUUUCCUAGCUUCUCAUAAGCCUGCUCCUUCAAAGGGUUAACUGCAGUGAAUCAAACUAUUGGAUUAUAAUUCCAUGAAGUAAGUUUAUUGAAGACAAACAGGCCUUGGGCCGCUGCCUCUGUCUCUCCUGCCUUCCCCACUGAAUCUCCAGCCCACAUUCACAAACAAAGACAAACCUGUGUAAACUGAAGCACCACAAAACUACUUUUAUGAAAGCAGAAUGGAAGCAGAUUUCACCUGCAUUUCCUACAUUCAACUGAAUCCUUUAAAUUGACUGAGGCACAUCCUGUACCAAGGAGAGACCUUUGUUACUGCCUUUGAUCCUGAGACCUUCUGAGCCAGCCUCCUUGGUAUAACCACGCAUUUACGGAAGAUGACGUUACCAGCAGCCCUGGGGCGCAGUCAACAGCAGUGGAAGAGCUGGCUCAUGUGUGGCUCAGGCUGACUCCACAAUCAGAGUGAUUAUGUGGAAAUCAAUCAGAAUUUUCUUCUUAGAAGAUGUUUGUUCUGACAUAAUGACUGACUUUCCAGCUAAUUUUUAUUCAUAGGCUUCUCCUUGCACAAUGAUCUCUAUUUCUCUCAAUGUUAUUCUGUGUCUUUCUUGCUUGCCUGCACAUUCUGAAAAAAAAAGGAAAGCAAUUCCCUACAUUUUAUUUUGAUACUUAAUGUUGUUUGCUAACAUAUUCAGAACACAAUGCAACUUUAUAUAUUAGAGCACUUAUAAUAUAUAUUAGGAAAACAUCAAUUAGGUACCACCAGUUAUUUUAGACAGGUAUCUCUUAGGUAAAAUGUGGUGAAAAUAGAGGGGCAAUGAUAGAAUUCAUAUGUGAAAGAGUCAAUUGGCCAUCAUUAUGCCAAAAUUAUUUUGUGGUUCAGGGGACAUUUUAAACUUUAAUUUUUAAGAAUUAAACUUUAAUUAAAUUUAUUGUAGUUUAAAUGCAAUCACAAGGAAAGACUCUGAACUGGAAACACCAAGCCAAGCUCUUUCCUAGUUCUGGUCCCCUAUAAACCCUGAAAGUUAAUGCAAUUAUUGUAAUUUUUAAACCACCGAGUUCUCAGGGUGAUUAGUUAUGCAGCAAUAGAUAGCCUGAAAAGGACCAUUCUUUCUGGCACUGAAAAUUAAGAAGAGUGAUUAACAACAUAAGAAUGUAGUUUGUGCUGUCUGCCACAGAUUUAUGUUGUAGCUUCAGUGAUUGCUUCAAAGCACCCUUACUAAUUGCCAGCCUAUUGCUGAUACCUAGCUAAAUUAGCAUGUGUUAGUUUUGAUACCACUAUAGGCAUUUAAAGGAUAGCUGAUACAUUCUAUAUAAAAUAUAAUUAUUUUCCUAUCUUUAGUUUAUCCUAAAGUAGCAGCUAUUAUAUUCGCUUCUUGAUUAGCUUUAUACAUAACCAGAGAAAGUAAAAUAUCACAGAGUAUAUUUGAAGACAUAAAAGUCUUUGGACAAAGCUCAAGUAAUGAAUCAGGAUGCUAUUACAUCCUCCACAUGACAGUAAAUAUAUUUUAUAUUCCUAAAUUUUAAGCUUUUAACAAAAGCAAAUUUUAUACUGGACUAUUUCAAUUUCUAGGGAAAGGAAAUUAUCAUUUACUGUCUUUGAGGCUAUAAUCUAUUUAGCCAUUAUUUUUAUAUUGAUCAAUUUAUAAUAAAGGUAAGAGAAAAUACUACCACAUAUAUGUUGUUUAUAUAAUUUUAACUUUCAUAAUUAAAAUACUGGGUAUACUGCAAGAUGUCAAUAUUUAUAAUAGCUUAUAUUUGGAAACAAUUAUACUUUAUAUACUCCUAAUCCAUUGCCUUGUGUGUCAUUGAAGAAAUUGAAGUUCACAAUAAUGACUGAACAAAUGCUCAAAGCUGGUCUGUGGCAGAACCAAAAAUUUCCAUGGCACCUUUCUCUUUCCAUAUUGGGGUGAUCUGCCUAAUUUGACUUUCUGCUUAUAUGUCUAGACUCUACCCCUCAUUCCUUCUGCUAGUGUGUUGUUGAACCCUUUCUAUUAACCCACUCUCGAUUUUUCUGUUGCACAAUCAAUCUGUAGCCUGAAUGUUGAGUCCCAAAUGCAUGAGCUACCUGGCCGAGUAAUCUAACUAGAUUAGCCUGAGUAUAUCACUUUAAGGCCAAUGUAAAGUUAUGUUGUAACUACCUCAUAGUUUUGCAGAGGCAAGAAAUAGAAGUUAAGGAAGAGAAGAAGCCAAUCUUGAAUCAGUUAGAAUUUCCUUGGACAUAGAAAAUCUCUACAAGCAAAAACCCAUUUGAUUGAACAAGCAAGCUUAUGCAGUUAAAUAUAUCAAAGAUCUUGUCACAAAAAGUGUAAAGGGAAAGUAAAAUAAGGAGGGAGCAUGAAGAAGCCAGCUUAUAUUAAAGAUUCAAAGCAGGGAUAUAAGGAAAUUCAAGCCAAAAAUAAGGAAGAAUUCUUAUAAAUGCCCCAAGAAUGAAUUCGAUGUUUGGUCGAUAUUCCAACAGAUUUAGUAAUGCUAUUUUUAAAGUCAACAGGCUGCCCAUUUUUGCCUCACACUCUGACUGCAUGUAAUCUGUCAAGUACUCUGAUGAGUUCUGGAGAUGCUAAUGCAAAAAAGAUAUAAAAUCCUUACCUUGAAAAUGUAGUUCACAAUUUAGCCAUGGAGUUAUGGCAAGCAUCUUGUCUUCAAUUUUAGCCCCUCCUCCAUCCCUCUCCCAGACACCCAUUGUCCUCUUUCUCACCACAUCCACCCCCUUUUUUGUCCUGUCUUUGGUGCACUAUUUAUAAUUCUUCUCAUGUCUACCACAACUAUUUUGGGUAGUAAGAACAUCAGUAUGGAGACCCCUUAAUCCUAACUAAUAUCAACUCUAUCUGUUUGGUAUUAAUUCUUGUUUAUUGAACUUGAGGCAUUGAGUACUACAAAAAUUAUAAUACACUACUGGUGAACAUUACUUUAUUAAUGAUUAGGUUCCACUUGGAUGUUUGUCAUUCGUAUGUAGCUGUUCUCUCCUUGUAGCCUGUAAACUUUCUAUGGAUGUCACAAAAAGAGUUUUAAGGAUUUUGCUUAAAUUAAAAUUAAUACAUCAAGAAAAUACUAUGCCUCAAACAAAAAAUAAUCAGUUAAUUUAGUUUUUAGAAAUCUUUUACAAAAAACGUGAUAUUUAAUAAUCUUUAUGCAAGGAUUUUUGGGAUAUUAAAAUUGUCACAGAUUUAAUAAUACGUUUUAUUGUAUAAAAUUUUUCUUUUCUCUUCAAAGUGUUGGGAGAGUGAAUUCUCUAAGUAAAAACUGAAGAGUAAGAUGUUAUCAUUAAACAUUUCAGAAAAUGCACACUAUCGUAGACUGCGCACUGUGAAAAUGAUCAGCUAGUAGAGGUUUUGGUGAACAUAUAGUAACUUUUAUCAACAAGUAAUGUGAAUAUGUGAAAUCUAUUGCUUUUCCAAAAGAAAGAAACUUUUACACUUCUUGGUAAAGAUAAACUUUCAUGUAAGAAAAAAUAAAAACAUAAUUUUAGCAAUCCAAACCAUACUAAAAUCAUAAACACUUGACCACAUGUUUGAGUACC